rnacentral:tRNA from 1 species
CUUCCUGACCCAGGGAUUAAACCUGAGUCUCUUGCAUUGGCAGGCAGAUUCUUUACCACUGAGCCACCAGGGA